CUCUCAGAGCACAGGGUUCAUGUUUGAAUUCCCCAAAUAACUGACCCCCUCCGGGCCAGCGGUUGGGAUUUUCCAUUACAGGGAUCCGGUAGGUCAUGCCCAGCAUCUGCCCUCCUUCUCUUCCUGGGUUACAGCAGGAAGGGUGAGUGGAAGGGGGCAACUCCCUUCUCUGCACCGGCCCCUCCACCGACCUUGACUUUGGACCUGGGGAGAUCAGGUAGUGGGAGGAAACAACAAGGAGAAAACAGAUCCAAGUUCAAGCCUCGGUGUGUAGAGAGGAGAGUGAGAGAAGUAAUUGAAGAUGCAGCAAGAAGGCUCAUGGUUAGACAACAGGAGGGACUGCCUGAAGAAGUCGAUGAAAGAGAGACCCACAGGUUGGGGGCAGCCUUGCCCUGGGUGGACAAGAGAUGACUUGGGAUUUAGGAAGCAGCCACUCAUCGGUUCCUGGGUCAGAGUGCCCCGGUUAUCUUCUGCAGGACACAAGACCUCCGACUCCAGGACAUCAACCAGAAUAGACGCCACCUGGUCUUUUGAUCUGGGGUGCCUGGUUGGGCUCCUGCUUCCUUUGAACACAGCCAGUGGUGCCAGCAUGGACCAAUGCCCUUGGGGUAAGAAGAGGGAAGCAGAGACCAAGAAAGACUUGAAGGCGUUCCGGACCCCCAGAUGGGCCAGGAGGCCCUGAAAACACCUGAGACGCAGGGCAGCAGCCUCACUCUGCACAACGAGCUCUCCUUGGGACCUCAGGGAGCUCGGCCUCUCCUGGGCCUCAGUCUCUCUGCAAGUCCUGGACCCAUUCACCCUGUGCUCUCUCUUGAUGUUCUCAGCCCUCCCCCUUGGGGAACAUGAAGGCCCCCAUAGACGGCUCAGCCAGUGGGGCGGGUUCCCAUUCAGGCCACCGCCCCCUUCAGACUCUCCCAGUGUUUCUGGAGCACUGAUGGUGUGCCAGGCUCCCUGCACACAGGUGCUAGAGAGACUGCUGCAAUCAAGGCGAGCAAGGUCACCACCUCAUGGUCCUUUUGUUAGAAUCUCAUGGCCUUUUAGCCUCCAAAUCCCUCCACCGCAUCCCUUGACCUGAGCUCCCAGGGCAGCUCUGAGCCCUUGGGGACACCUCAUUUCCUUUAGCUCCUCAUACUUCUUCACCUCCAUUUCUGCUGAAUGAGAUUGGGUGGGCCUAGGCUCUGCUUCCCACCUGGGCAAUUCCCCUAUCCCAAAGACGCUAGGCCACAGAGCCCUAGGCAUCACUGAGGCUAGACCAGAGGGAGGGCAGAGUCUUGCGGAAUAGGACUCACUCCACCAUGAGCUAGCAGUGUGGACCUGAAUAAGUCCUUUACCUCCCAUCAAUAGAGUGAGGGGGUGGACUGCCGUAAAUUAAGGUUCCAUGCCUGGGCCUUACCCCAAGGAUCAUGUUUUAGCUGGUCUGAGAUGGUGCCCAGCCAUUAGUGUCUUUUAAAAGCUCCCAGAUGAUUCAAUGUGCAGGCAGAGUUGGAACCAACUGUGUCUAAGGACUCUAGCUCAUCAGAGUUAACAGUUUAAUGAGGCACCACGCUAAGCGCUUGUGUACUUUCUAUGAGUUCCUCAGUUUAAUAACUUUUAAAUUACAAACAAAUCUUUUAUUGAUGGGAAAACUGAAACCCCAAGAUCCCAAGAUGCUAACCCAAGCAGGGCAGCUGGGAUUCAAACCCAGGCAGUUUGUUUCUAGAACCGGAAUGUGUAAUUUCCAUGCUAUAGGGGUGCAGAGAAGGAUCUGCUCUGGGUUCUUAUCCCCAGGAGCACAUGUGCAGAAACCUCUAGGUUGCAGUGGUGAGAGUGAAGUGCCCCCAGAAGACACGGGGGAGGAACAGUACAGCUGGCUGCACACUGUUCUGUUUAGAGGGUGAGGGCAGCUUGGUGAAGGAAGAGAGGGUUCUCAGAAGAAUUAGGAGGCUUGCAGGGGGCAGGUGGCAUUCUAGUUGGGCCUCAAGAGACGGGUAGGGUCUAGCUUACAGACCCAGAGAGAGCAUGCUCCAAGUAGAGGAAACACCACGGUCACAGGCCUGGAACUCCCAGUGCGCCAAGAAACAUGGGAGCCAAGGGAUUUCCAUGGUGGCCCAACGGCUAAGACUCCAUGAUCCCAAUGCAGAGGGCCUGGGUUCAGGGUCAGGGAACUGGAUUCCACAUGCCGCAACUAAGAGUUCAUAGGCCGAACUAAAGAUCUUGCAUGCCGCAUCUAAAGCCCAGAGCAGAGCAGCCGAAUAAAUAACGGCGAUAGUGUAAGAAGAAAAAACAAACAAACAAGCAAAAUGCGCCUGCCAAUGCAGGAGACAAAAGAGACACAGGCUGGAUCCCUGGUUGGGAAGAUGCCCUGGAGAAGAACAUGGCAAUCCACUCCAGUAUUUUUGCCUGAAGAAUCCUAUGGACAAAAGGGCCUGGUGGGCUACAGUCCAUAGGAUCGCAAAGAGUCGGACCUGACUGAAGCGACUUAGCUCACAAAUAUGUUUUUAAAAAAGGAAAGAAACACAGGAGCCAAUACUGGGAAUGGAAGUGGGAAUCAUUUCAUGCAGGGCCUUGAAGACCAGCUAGGUGCCAUUCUAAACGCCAGCAUUUCCCAAAAGGCUCUGAUGAUAAUAAUCACUUGGAGUGCUUGUUACAAAUACAGGACAGCAGUCACAUCGCUUAGAAAUCCUGAUCCAUAAGGGCAGGGGUGGGGAGUGGGAUUCAGUAUUUUUACCACCAAGCAAGUUUGAAAAAUAUUAUUAUAAGCGACAUGGAGCCACUUCAAAGGUUUGAGCAGGGAAGAGGGAUGUUCUCAGAUGGUUCAAUGAUUGCAGGCAGUGUGUGCGCACGGACUGGGGUGUUGGGCUGGAAGAGGCAGAAAGGAGGUUAUGGCAAAAAUUUAGCCAAGGGGUGUGAAGGACUGGAGCAAGAGAUUCGCGAUGACAAUGAAGAGAAAAGGACUUUGGGAGGUAGAAUUUCAGGAUCUGGCAAUUGAUUGUAUGGGAGGAAGGAGCUGAAGAUGAAAGUGGAUGCUAGCGCAGCAUUAACUACCAUAAGGUUAUGGGGACUUCGCUGGUGGUCCAGUGGUAAAGAAUCCACCCUUUCAAUGCAGGGGACAAGGUUCCAUUCCCGCUCAGGGAACUAAGAUCCCACGUGCCAUGGGGCAGCUAAGCCCGUGCACUACGGCUACUGAGCCCACACUCUAGAAACUGGUGCUACAACUUGAGAAGCCCACGUGCUGCAACAAAGACCCAGUACAGCCAAAAAAGAAGGCGGAGGAUGGCUGAAAGGAGGUUGUGUGGGAGAGAAGGUGCAUGUUGGCCCUGGAGCGUGUUCAGUGUGAGAUGCUGCUGGCAGGCUUUCCAGGUAAAGGUGCCCAGUGGGUGGUGAAAUGGGGAUUGGCGCUUGGGAGAGAGGACAGGCCAUGGAAGUCACCUGCACAGAGGUGAGCGCUGAACCAGGAGGGCAGAGGAGACUGCCAGCAAUCGUGGGCAGACGCGUGGGUCACACCCAGCACAGAGAAGGAGGAUCCAAAGACGGAGAAGUAGACAAGCCAGCAAGACGGGGAACUAGACCCAGGAGGAGGCCUGGAAACCGACAGAGGAAAAAGUUUCAAGGGCAAGAAACUAGCAGCUUCAGAUGCUACAGAAGGCCAAGGGGAAAUGAAAGAUGGCCACACUGGGGAAACUUGGAAGUUGCUGGUGUAACCUUUAGAAAACCAUUUCCAUAGAGGGUGUGUGUAUGUGUCAGUCGCUCAGUCAUGUCCGACUCUUUGCAAUUCCAUGGACUGUUGCCUGCCAGGCUCCUCUGUCCAUGGAAUUCUCCAGGCAAGAAUAUUGGAGUGGGUUGCUAUUUCCUUCUCCAGGGGAUCUUCCUGACCCAGGGAUCAAACCCAGGUCUCCCGCAUUGCAGGCAGAUUCUCUACUGUCUGGGCCAAGAGGGUAGAGUUUGCAAAUAAAAUUGUGAAGGGUGUUCUUGCCUGGAGAAUCCCAGGGACGGGGGAGCCUGGUGGGCUGCUGUCUAUGGGGUCACACAGAGUCGGACACAACUGAAGCGACUUAGCAGCAGCAGCAGCAGCAAGGAGUGCAUGGUGAGGAAACUGAAGCAGGGGUGGAGGUUACCCUCUUCAAGAGGAGUCCAGGAAGUGGAAGGAAAAAGCAGGGAACAGAGAGCAGAGUAGGUGGGAGCCAGGGAAGGACACGGUUCGCCAAGAAGAAUCUCCUGCCUCCAUCUGCCGCAAGAGCCCUAGCUUUGAUCAUAGCCAGGCACCGUGGUUCCUACAUUCUCAUUUAUUUUCAGAACAACCUCAAAAAAACAAGAGGUCCAGACCAUACUAAUUCUCCUAUUCCACACUGUGAAAUCAAGGCUAGAGAAACUCAGGGAUGGGAUGGAGGCCACACAGCUGGUAGAUCCAGGCGCAUCCAGGCCCGUGUUGUCUGAUUCUGGAAUCUCAGCCCUGACAUUUUUGACUGUGUUGAGAACACAGAAGUUCUAUUUCAUGUGUCUGAACUCCUGAAGGUAACUGGCUUGAUCCCCCGCUUUGGGGGUGUGUUCCAUCCAGUUGCCUUCCCCCAGGGAUAUCCGGUUCAGGAGCUGGCAUCUUAAGCGCCCGUUACCCACUGGAGCAGGUAGUCCUGCACAUCUGGACUCCUACCACCCUGUCCUGCUAGCCGGCUGGACCUGCUCCCUCGUCAUUCCCCUGGAUGUCAGCUCUUCUCAGUGUGGUGGUUUGUCCCAUGCAGAGGCUGAAUGGCAACACGGUCAGGAACUGCUGUGCAGUCAGAAUGUCUGGAUAAGAAACCCUAGAUCUGUGAUUUCCCUGCUGGUCCAGUGGUUAAGACUUCAUGCUCCUACUGCAGAGGCUUCCAAGGUGGUGCUAGUGGUAAGGAACCUACCUGCCUGGCAAUGUAGGAGUCGUACGAGACACAGGUUUGAUCCCUGGGUUGGGAAGAUUUCCUGGAGAAGGCCACGGCAACCCACUUCAGUAUUCUUUCCUGGAGAAUCCCAUGGACAGAGGAGCCUGGUGGCUACAGUUCAUGGAGUCGCAAAGAGUCGGACACGACUGAAGCAACUUAGCACCCAUGCACGCUCCCACUGCAGGGGGUGCCGAUUCAACAUCUGAUCACAGAAAAUAAGAUCACACAUGCCUCGGGGCACAGUGCUGUGCUGUGCUUAGUCACUUCAGUCGUGUUGGACUCUUCGACCCCGUGAACUGUAGACCCCCAGGCUCCUCUGUCCAGGGUAUUCUCCAGGCAAGAAUACCAGAGUGGGUUGCCAUGCCCUCCGCCAGGAGAUCUUCCCAAUCCAGGGAUUGAACCCAGGUAUCCCACAUUGCAGGCGGAUUCUUACUGUCUGAGCCACCAGGGAAACCCAAGAAUACUGGAGUAGGUAGUCUAUCCCUUCACCAGGGGAACUUCUGAACCCAGGAAUCGAACCGGGGUCUCCUGCAUUGCAGGCAGAUUCUUUACUAGCUGAGCUACCAGGGAAGCCCCACCAAAUCCAUACUCAAUAAAACCACAUAACUAAAAAAGGAAAAGAAACUAGAUCUACCACUCACUGGCCAAAAGUUUAACUUUUCUGAGCUUUCAUUUCCUCAUCAGCUCUAACUCAGAGGGCUGCUUGGUGAAUUCAAAUCCUCAAUGCAUGUUCGCUACGAUUUCCUGCCCUUGUUUUUCCACGUCCUGGUCUCAGGACUGCAGUUUGUUCCUCAGCUGAAUGUGAUCUGCAGGACCCAUCCCUCCCCAGAGGACAGAGCUGGGCCUAUCCCAGGCUGCCCGGGAAGCCAGGCUGGGUUGUUGCUGAGGGAUGGCAGGUUUGGGCUCUGAAAUAGGAGGAGAAGCUUUCUGUCAGCUGUGGAUGGAAGUGUCCGGUGUGAGACAAGCUCCAGAGGGGUCAAUUGUGCCCACCAUGGAGGCGAUCUGGUCACUAGAGAGAAAGAACCCGGCUUCCUUCUCUCUCACUCACCCCCUUGCUCUUUCGCUUCCUCAGUUGCUUGGCACAUGUCUGUGGCACUUCUACUCCUUGCCAGGCACUGUACUAGGCCUGGGGGCAGAGCCAAGAAGAGCCAACAGUGGCCUUGAGCAGCUCACAGCCAGGAUGCAGAGGCAGAUAUAAACCAAGGCUGGGAUGACAAUGCAGAGUGGAGAACACCAUCCAAGGUCUGAGAACAGGUGCUGGGAGAGCGGGGGAGGCUGCAUGGGCAUCAGGGCCCCAGGCCCGCUCCCUCCCAUGGCGAGCUCCUGCACCCAUCUGUUUCUUUGUUUUUGUAAUCUUUAUUUCUGGCUUUGUUUUCCCUUUCCUUUCCCAACAGAGAGCCUUUGGAAAAAUUCCACCCUUGUUUCAGUUGGACUAGGGAAAAGGGGACUUGUCCACUCUUCGGCCAGGAGAGCUAAGGGGUGCCAGGUUCCUGGAGAGUCCAGGGCGCUUGGAAACGCCGGGCCUCGGAGGUAGACGCGAGCCUUCCAUACCAUCAGCAGCUCUAGAGGGCUGUGUAAGUGCACUCACGGAAUUCUCACCCCUUCUUCUCUCCCCACCCCACCCCCGCACACAUACACACCUGCCUCUUACUGAUUCCUCUUUUCCCGAGCCUCAGCACUGCCUCCAUUCAUCCAACAGAUAUUUAUUGAACACCCACUGUGUGUCAGGAGCUGGAAAUACACUGGUGGGAAAACACUAUUAUUUCAAAAGUUUGCACAGAUGCCAGGAGAGAGUGUGUGGUUGCGCACGUGCACGCACAUGUGUGUGUAUGAAUAAGUGUGUGAGGAGGAAGCAUUAAGGGAGCAGGAGCAAGAGGAAUGUUAUGAGCUUAAGCUCGUGAGUUAAACAGCUGGCUUUGGCUUCCAGGUGCUACCAUUUGCUAGCCUGGUGACCUUGGGGAAGUGAUGUAUCCUCCCCAGGCCUCCUGCUCCCAUCUGUAAAUAGGUAACAAUAGGACUCAGCCCUCCGGGUUGUUGCGAGGGCCAAGGGAGUGAGUGUGCGUGUGCAGGGUCUGCAGAGCAGUGCGGGCACACAGCGGGUGUUCACUAUCAGCAGUUCCUGGUGCCUCCUCCUCACCUUGCUCAGAGCUGGGUGUGGACACACUUGCGAACGACCUGUUCUCCAAAUCUGAUCCCCACUCACUGACUCAGAGGCAGCCACUUGGAGUUAACCACCUCCUGCCCCACCCCCGGAGGCUCAGCUACAACUUGCAGCCCACAGAUCUGUCUAGCCAGACUGCUGCCAUCUUCUGCCCUUACUCAGUCCCCACUCCCCCACGCCAGCUGUUCGGGUGGGGAAGAAGUGAUCUCACACAGCAGGGGUUGCCUCAGCCCCGUGCCACCCUCCAGACAUAUGUCUGCAGCACCAGCUCCCUCGUAGCUGGCUGGGGAUGGAGUAGAGGGAUGGGGGAGCCUUUGGGGUGGAGCCCGGGCACCCAGCCCUGUGGGACCUGGGAACAAGGGACUGUCAGG
ensembl:lncRNA